UACGUAGGGCGCAAGCGUUGUCCGGAAUUAUUGGGCGUAAAGAGCUCGUAGGCGGCUUGUCACGUCGGAUGUGAAAGCCCGGGGCUUAACUCCGGGUCUGCAUUCGAUACGGGCUGGCUAGAGUGUGGUAGGGGAGAUCGGAAUUCCUGGUGUAGUGGUGAAAUUCGUAGAUAUUAGGAGGAACACCGGUGGCGAAGGCGGCCAUCUGGCUCGGUACUGACGCUCAGGCGCGAAAGCGUGGGGAGCAAACAGG
rnacentral:rRNA from 1 species